rnacentral:snRNA from 1 species
UUCUGUGUCUUGGCAUUGUGGCUAAGAUCAAGUAUAGUAUCUGUUCUCAUCAACUUAAUGUCUGGUAUGUCCUCUAUCCAGGCUUCCCAGGUGGCAAUAGUGGUAAAGAAUCCGUC